rnacentral:rRNA from 1 species
CUUGAAGAUCGGAGUGCUUGCACUCUGUGAAACAAGAUACAGGCUAGCGGCGGACGGGUGAGUAACACGUGGGUAACCUGCCCAAGAGAUCGGGAUAACACCUGGAAACAGAUGCUAAUACCGGAUAAUAACAGAUGAUGCCUAUCAACUGUUUAAAAGAUGGUUCUGCUAUCACUCUUGAUGGACCUGCGGUGCAUUAGCUAGUUGGUAGGGUAACGGCCUACCAAGGCGAUGAUGCAUAGCCGAGUUGAGAGACUGAUCGGCCACAUUGGGACUGAGACACGGCCCAAACUCCUACGGGAGGCAGCAGUAGGGAAUCUUCCACAAUGGACGCAAGUCUGAUGGAGCAACGCCGCGUGAGUGAAGAAGGGUUUCGGCUCGUAAAGCUCUGUUGUUGGUGAAGAAGGACAGGGGUAGUAACUGACCUUUGUUUGACGGUAAUCAAUUAGAAAGUCACGGCUAACUACGUGCCAGCAGCCGCGGUAAUACGUAGGUGGCAAGCGUUGUCCGGAUUUAUUGGGCGUAAAGCGAGUGCAGGCGGUUCGAUAAGUCUGAUGUGAAAGCCUUCGGCUCAACCGGAGAAUUGCAUCAGAAACUGUCGAGCUUGAGUACAGAAGAGGAGAGUGGAACUCCAUGUGUAGCGGUGAAAUGCGUAGAUAUAUGGAAGAACACCGGUGGCGAAGGCGGCUCUCUGGUCUGUUACUGA